AUGACUAGUUAUCUCGGGGUUUCAGUACAGUCCCAAGGUGUGUUGCUGGUGGAAGAGCCUGUAGAAGAGAAGGCUUUGCACAAGACUACAUGCGGCAACAUUUGGGAUGUAAAUGCAUUAGAAAACCACCCACCUAGGCUGGCUUUUCAGUAAGUGCAAAGGAUGACACAAUAGAUAUUUGCCAUCUCUAAUCUUUAUCACUUCUAUCAACUCUGGAUUAAGGACAAAGCUGUGUGUUUCUACUCAGACUACUUUGCCUGGAACAGUUAAUGGUGAUAUUUAAAUUGUCAUCAUGAGAUGUCAGAGCCAAUGUUCUUCUGAGACAAAUGAAGUUGUUCACACUUCCCCAGAAAGUAUUGCUCCCGACUGCCUGCUGACUGUCAAAAAACACUUUCUUUCCAUUUUGAGGGCUGUUGAGCAAUCAUAAGGUUUAAAAACUCUCAACUUUAGAAAAAAUGAAAGCACUCACUUUGCAGAAAUUGAAGACAAGAAUAAAAACCUGAACUGCUCUCUAGAUUGACA
rnacentral:lncRNA from 1 species